GUACCCUCAAGCUUUGCUUGGUGUUGGGCGUUUUUGUCUCCCUCUUUGCUGGGAGACUCGCCUUAAAACGAUUGGCAGCCGGCCUACUGGUUUCGGAGCGCAGCACAUAUUUUGCGCUCUGUAUCAGGAGAAAAGGACGGUAAUCCAUCAAGACUCUACGAUUUUUAACUU
rnacentral:misc_RNA from 1 species